UGUCAAAUAGGAGGUCAUAAUACUUAUCACACACAGACUUUUGGGAGGUUUAAUCCCUUAUGUUCUGUAGAUGGCUUUUGUUUGGAAAGGACACCUAUAAAACAUUAUUGCUGUACUAAUGCGUCUGUUGCUAAUCAUGGGCAAUGAUGAAAUGUGUGUUUGGCUGUUUGAAAGCCAUCUAAACAGUGAUUGCGCUGGGAUGGCACAGGACUGGGAAUCGGGAACCCAGGGAAGGAAUUGUUCAGAGAUACACCGUUCCUUCUCUGCUCCCAUCUUGCUCCCGUGCUACUAGCCCUGACCAGUAGCUGAUCGCCACCCUGCACUGGGUCAGCUUUGCUGGCGGGUGCGCCAUGAGGUGAAGCCAAAGGUUUCACCCAGCCCUACCCCCUCUCUGCCCAGUUCCACCCACCUGUGUUGCAGGGGAUGUACUUUGAGUACAGUGUCCACUGCAGGCACAGAGGGACAAUAUGAGGAAGCUCCUAUGGGAUGUAGGGGGUGUCUUUCUUCUCCUUAUGGCUCUGCAUAGGUGGUCCAUGAUCUCUGCCAUUAAUGCUUGCAAAGUGCUUUGAGAUCCUUGGACAACAGGAGGGUUAUAUAGAUGCAGGGUGUUAAUAUAACAAUUGAUUUGUAUAUGCUUACCUCCUGUUUCUUUAUAGUUCCUCUAAAACUUUACUCAUACAUCCCUUUGGUACAUCCAGGAUAUUACUAGGAAAUAGUUCAAUCUAAUCUAAUCUCUCUUGUAAGCACUACGUGAUUCCACAUGUUUACACUUCCUUUUAAAGUGUAGCUAUCAAAACAUGACCACACGAGCAUACCUUCCUGAGGGUGUUUUUUACAAGUUAGGGCUGAUCAGUGUAUUUAUCAAGAAUAUGAUGAGGCCUGAGGGAGGGGGAGGAGAGUUUUGAGUGUGAUUUACUUUUCGCAUUUAAAAAAAAAAAGAUGCCAGUCUGCUGUGGUAUCAAAUGGUAUUUUUCUCUCCCCACUACAUUGUACGUUUGAAAAGGGGAAGAGGCUUUUUUUUUCUUUUUUCUUUUUUUUUAAAAAAAUAUUUAAGUGAUGGGCCAGAUUCUGGCAUAAAUCAGGAGAGUGUCACUGAAAUCAGUGGAGCUACACCCAUUAACACCGGCUGAGAAUCUGUCCUUCCAUGUCCUCUUGUGAAAAUGAUGGCCUUUUAUUUUAGUCUGGCCAACCAGAACGUUUUCGCUUUAUUGAGGCCUUUGUGCAGCAACAUUUUGUUUUCUGCAGUUGCUCCAACACAUCUUUUGUUGCAUAAAUGAGCUCAAAACGAUACACAGCAUUCAAGCAGGCUUCCCACCCUCACCACUUUCCAAGGUCAGAUAUCCUGCACCUGCUGGAAAAGGUUCAAACAAGCAGAAACUUCUGGACAGGAGAACCUUGUUUUGCACAGAUCCUAUUUAUGGUAUAUGGGGAGUAGUUGGUUAGUAAUUCAGCCUUGAAGUAUUUCAGCAUUUUGUGGGCUGUUAUCUAAGAGGUGAUAAGACUUCUAGUGAAUAAGGAAUUAAAAAUGUAAUGCCUCUAGAACAAAUUUGUCAUGAGUUUGCAACCAGCAGUGGUAAUGGUUUUUGGUUAGAGGAUGCCUUGAUGUUUCUGUGAUUGAAAGCCAAUUUUCCUUUCAAAGCACUGUAACGUAUUUAAUCAAGCUAAAUUAUUUCCCUCUCUCCCUCUCUGCUAGUCCACAGUUAGAUCAUGGUGCAAAAUUAAACACAGCCUUUCAUCCUACCUCCUCUUGCCUCUGUAUUUGACCUAGAGUUUGGAGAGCCAUUAAUUUGUCUGAGAUACUGGUUUAACAUGGUAGAAAAAUUAAAAAGGACAAAGAGAAGCCUGACUAAUUGGCAUUUCCAAGAGAUUUUUGUAAUCAGCCAAUGGGGAUUUUAUAAGGUAUGAAGUAUUUGCUUUUACAUACACUUCUCCUACAUUCUUUCUCUCAUGUUUGCUCAGCAAACCUGCUGGAAUAAAGAUCACAUCUGCCUCUCUGCAAGCUCUGUACUUGGGAGGUAAUUGAAUUGGAGUUUUUGUAUAAGAGCAUGUUCGCAUUUAAUUGGACAUAUGCGUCUGAACACACUAUCCCAGCUACUCCACUGAAUUUGAUUUGGGAAUGAAUCCCAUGAAAGGCGUCUUCUAGCUUUCAUGAAGAAUGGGUCUUUUCCAAAGGGAAAAGUAUUCAAGCACUAAAUUUAAUAAAGUUUAGUUUGAAAGUUAAUUCUUUGCAACAAAACUCUUUUGAAAACUACAUAAUUCUGAGAAUAGUUCCCCCUCUCCUCCCAAUGAUUUAAUAGCCAGUAUCUUGUACAGGCAUUGUGAUUUGUAACUAAUUAAUCUUUAUUUUGUAAACAUAGAAUAGUUACAUGACAGUUUAAUGGGGUUUUGGUAAAAUAAUUGCAUUGUUGUAAAAGUUACUUGUGCUGUCAUGUCCUGUCAUGCAGAGCAAUAAUGGAGGAUUUCAGGGAGAUAAGUUCCCACAGUGAGACGAAAAUAAACACUGUGGUGAUCUUUAUUUCAUUUCUGAGUUUAGGAUGCCCACUGAAAUACAGCAAUGCAAGCACGUGGUCAUCUCUCAAUCUAAUGCAUUACUAGCUUGGAGAAAACAGUGUAAAGUUAUUGAAGAGAUGAAGUGGUGAUCUGUCCAUUGGGCUGAGAUGACAAGAGCUAGUUUAGUUUAUGAAGAUGUUUAUACUUAAAGUAUGUUUGUAAGUGAACUUGAUAUACUUCAUUUUUUUUGUUUUGUUUUUUAAAUCAUUUCCCAUUAACUUGAACACUUUCUUAUUUUAUACCAAGUCUCAGUUAGUUAUUAUGGGGUGAAAUUCUGAUGUUUUUACUCAGCUUUUAUUUAGUCUUUACUCAGGAAAAGCUGCUACAAACUGAGUUUUGCUUGAGUAAGGACAUCAGGCUUUAGGCCACUGUUAAUUAUUUGAAUUAUGUACACUGUGAACCAAAAGAACAGAUUACCAGUUUCCAACCUAGCAUGACAAACCCCUCUGAGAUAAGAUGAUUGGGGAUACAGGAGCAGAAGGAAUUGUUGUUUAUUUGCCCAAAUCUAUUGGCAUGGACGGCACGUGAACUGCCAGCUGGGGGAGGCAAACCCACAGUGCUGCCCCUUCUGCCUCCUUCCACCAGAGCUCAGAGUCCCCCCUUCCCCCCCAUACAGAGCUGUGAGCCCCUGCCCCAAGCUUGUGCCUCAGAGUGCCAGGAGCACGGGUGGUGUGGCCCCAGCCCCUGAGCACUGAGAGGGUGGGCGCCGGGGCUGCCACACCAAGGAAGCUGCAGAGGGGGCCUGGUGGUGGAGCAUGGGCAGGGCCACAUCUGGCUGUUUGGGGAGGCUGAGCCUCCCCCAGCCUAUGAUACCCACUGCCCAUGUCUGUUGGCAGAAAUGCCACAUUUCAGAUGUACAGACACUAGCUUUAAUAACAUUUUAAAAUCUGGGUAUAGUGGUUAGAUUAUCCAAAAGUACAAAGGUUGGUUUAAACAUCAUAAAAUACAUAUAGUACAUAAUCUGUAAUAACUCAAAUUUAGGUGAAUAAAUUUAACAAUACAAUUUUAGAUGUUAGCAUCCAAAUAUUUGGGUACAUCACUCAUGAAAAGUUACACAGUUGUUGAAAGCAAAUAUUGCAAUGAGUGAAGAUUAAUCCCUCAAAUACUGAGGGGCAGAGUAAUUCGUCCCUUAGAAAAUACAAUCCAUCAGGGAAGUAUUUCAAUUACUUUCCUGACUUUGCUUCUUAUCAGCACUCUAGCUCAUCUCUCCUGGUAUUGCCAGUGUCUGGUGAUGUGUUCUAGAUGGAUGUCCCUUGACCACCUGAUGGCGUCCAACACCAUGAGCUGCCAGAUCAGCUGAGCAUAGUGUUGACCGAUUCCACAUUCUCUCAACAUUUGCUCGUUACUGGGGUCCCAUGUGCCCAGGGCUUUGAUGAGCAGCACAUGAGUUUGAACCGCGGGAAAAUCCCACUGUUUCCAACCAGCUCUGUCUCCCUGUGGCAGGAUGUACCUGGAGUUUGUGGCUCCCUAAAGAAGGCCCUGGGCCUUGCUUCAGAAAAGAAGCCAUGAAGGACCAAGUCACAGAAGACCACCAAGGUCCGCUGACAGCCUGCAGUGGGCUCCAGUGAUGGGGAAAAUGACUGUAGUAUCACACCCAGCUGCUUGGAGGUGCUCAAGAGGAUGAAGCAGAAGGCAAUAGUAAUAAGGGACGAAGAAAGACCUUUAACAAAUAGAAGCUCAUUUGAUAAUGAAUGAAGAAACUACAAAAAUAUUGGCCAGAGACUUUUCGUGUUUUAUCAUGGGGAAAACUAGGAUCCUGGUUGAUCACUGAGGAGACUCCAACAGAACUGUCUGCCAGAUGCCUUUCCAGCCAGCUCAUCCACCCAGCUUCUUGGCGACCCAACUGAAAGUCUGCCUUGGAAUUGGGAGCCCACAACUUCUAUGGAGCAUGGCUCCAUGUGUACUCAGGAGCCACUUGUCCUGAAAGUCCUAGGGUGCUAUGGCCCUGGAGCAGUCCACAUAGUGGCUACCCUAGAGCCAUGAAUCCUGGAAGCCCUGGCAGCUGCUGACUGAAACAGAUAUGCUGAGUGUUCCCUACUCUUCUGCCUGCCCACCACUAACCAUCUGCUGCGAAAGUGACAAAAAUGUCAAUUUCAGUCAGCAGCUGUUGAGGACUUCAGAAAAAAUGGUUUAUUUCAGAAACACCAUGUUUGGGUGUUUUACUAACAAAAUUGUAUGGACUUUCCAUUUUAUGGAAAAAUCCAGACUCUCUCUUUUUUUUUUUUUUUUUUUUUUUGUGAUGUGGAAGAAAACAAAUCUUGCAAUGUAGAAAUUUCUCAUGAAACAAAAUUCUGAGUUUCAACCAGCUCUAAUGGCAACAUCUAAGCUCCCAUGAAUCUCAGCAGAUUUGUUAAUAUGACUUUUGGGCUAUAUGGGAUCUUCAGUUACACCGUGUGAAAGAAGAGUCUAUUCUCUAACCACCCAGUAAAUACCUGGAACAAAAUCCCUCUUUAUUGUAUCUUCUCAACAGUAUAUUUUCACAUUUUAGUUCUCCUGGUGUCUUUGGUUAAAAUACAUUUUAUUAGUCUGGGCAGAAACUCAAAAUCAGUAUAGUUCACUGUAGAUCUAUUUUUUUAAAGUAAAAUACUCUGGAGCCCAGAAGUCUCCCUGUUUUAACUGGAAGAUACACUACAGCUUUCUGCAAUAUGUCACAGGGACCCUAAUCUAGAUUUAAAGAAUAGAGAUAAUGCUUUUUUUACACUGGACAUAUUCCAGUGCUCUCAUUAAAAUAUUACAUCCUCAAAAUGUCUAACACUGAAAGACACUGGCAACUAACAAAUUUUCCAAUAAAGCUGUAACUCAUCUUUAGUUAGAAAGAAAAUAAACAUUGCAAAUAUAAAUAUAGAUUCAUAGGAUUUAAAGCCAAAAUGACCCAUUACAAUCAUCUAGUCUGACCUGUGUGUAAUACAGGCCAAAGAACCUCACUGCAUCAAGCCCAAUAAUAACUUCUGUUUGAUAGCAAUCUUUUAAAUUGAGAUUGGAUAUUUUUUUUUUAAAAGUGACUGGGCAAGUGAAUCCAUCAUGUACACAGCUAAAUUAUUCUAAAGGUUAACUACUCUCCAUGUCAAAAGUUCAUGCCUUAUUUCUAGUCUGAAUUUGUCUAGUUUCAGUUUUCAGCUCUUGGAUCUUGUUGUACCAUUUUCUGCUGGAUUAAAAGAGCUGUCUACUAUCAGAAAUCUCUUCCCUAUUUAGGUACUUGUAGACUGAUGAAUUGACCUCUUAGCAUUCUCUUAGAUAAAUUUAAAUAGAUUGAGCUUCUUUAGUCUCUCACUAUAAGGCAUGCUUUCCAGAACUUGUAUCAGUCAAACAGCUCUCUUCUGAAUCCUUUCCAACAUUUUAAUAUCCUUUUUGAAGUGUGGACACCAGAACUGGGCACAGUAUUCUAGUAACAGGCUCACUAAGCUGUAAACAGAGACAAUACCAACUUCCUCCUACUCCUUGAUCUGCCCCCACUUAUACAUCCAAGAAUCAAGUUUGCCCUCUUAGCUACAGAAUAGCACUGGAAACUCCCAUUCAGUUGGUUAUCUAACAUGACCCUUAAGUCCUUUUCGGAGUCACUCCAUGCUGGGAUACAAUCCCCCAUCUUAUAAGUGUGAUCUUCAUUCUUUUUUCCUAGAUGUCUGAACUUGAAUUUGGCUCUUAAAAUGCACAUAGUUCAAAUGAACCCAACUUACCAAGCAAUCCAGUUUGGUUUGUAUAACUGACCUGUCUGCGUCACUAUUUACCACUCCACCAAUUUGUGUCAUAUGCAAACUUUACCAGCAAUGAUUUUAUAUUUUCCUCCACAUUGACAAAGAUCAUGAAUAGCAUUGGGCCAAGAACAGCUCCUAUGGGACCACACUAGAAACACCCCCAUUGGAUGAUCCCCUGAGAUCUCCAAAAUUGUAUCAAUUAGCCAGUUUUUAAUUCAUUUAAUAUGGGCAACAUUGAUUUUUGUAUAUUGCUAAUUUUUGUAUUAGAUUGUCAUAUGGGACUAAGUCAAUUGCCUUGUAUCCGAUAUCCGCCUCUUUAUGAUUUUGCCCAGGAUUGACAUCAGGUUAAUUGGCUUGUAGUUUCCCAGGUUUUCCUAUUUACCCUUCUAAAAUAUUGGUGUGACAUUAGCUUUUUUCCCCAGUCUUCUGGAACUUUUCACGUGUCCCAAGAUUUUUAAAAAAUCAACAUUAAUUCAGAGAGCUCCUCAGCCAGUUCAUCUAAAACUGUUUGGGUCCAAGUAACUAGUCCUCAAGAUUUAAACAUGUUUAAUAGCUACUGUUUCACAUCCUCCCUAAUUAAUGAUGGAAUAGAAAGUAUUUCAGUAUCAGUUUAAGAUAUGAAUACUUCAUUCUGCUUUCCGAAUACAGAACAGAAAUAUUUGCUGAAGACUUCUCCCUUUUCUGUAUCACAAUUGAUAAUUUUGCCAUCUUUGAUAAGUAUUGGACCUAUAUCAUACAACAUCUGAAAAGCAGAAUCUGCAGCAGAAGGAUUGACUGAGUUAAACCUGAUAAAGGCUGAUUGUGCAUUCCUUUCCCGUUAGUCAGCCAGCUGCUUUUUUUAAUAGAUCAGGAUUUUUUGGACUAGUUGCUCAUUCUUGUGCUAAGAUAUAUUCUUUCAUUUGUACCUUCAGGCAUGCUGUGGAAGUAAGGUUCCUAUUAGCUAAAUACAGCUCACUUCCCCCCUGCCCCGUGUUCCCUGUUGUGUGCCAGUCCACAGGCUAAAGAACAGAUCAAAAUAUGCUAGAGAUGAUUGUUUCACACACCACCAAGCAACUCUGAUUUUUCUAUCACCGUUUCCAUAAUAACCACUUGGCUCAGAUAUUGGGGGGGAAAACUGCUUUCAAUUAUCAGGUGCUGGUUUUGUAAGCUUUUCCUUGGUGUGGGGGCGGUGGCUAGAAGUACAACAAGAACUGUACCCAGUUAACUGAAAGUUAAAUGUUCUAGAUGUAUGCUGUGGGCCAGAUCCUCAGCUGGUGUAAAUCAGCCUAGCUCCACUGACUUCUACAAGUUUUCCAAUUUUCCUUAUUUUCUAUUAGGCUGUUACAAAAACCUCCAGGCUACAAAGCCAACUCCCAGAGCAACCUACUCUGUGCUUUCAGCAGCCAAGCAGAGCAGUGCAGUACUGAACUCUAGGGCAAUGGGACAGUCCUCCCAAGACUUACUGUACUGAUGAGGUAGGACCUGGGGGCCUAAUCCUGCACUGCACUGCACCAAUUUUGUGUCUGUAUAACUGCACUGCAGCCAAUGUAGUGAAGCUGGUGUAAUGGAGUGGCGAAUCAGGCCCUAUAAUAGGGAAAUAAAACUGCAGUCCCUUGUGUGUUACUGCACAAUACAAACCAAAAGGCUUCUGAAUCAAGCAAAAUCCACACUCCUAACACAAAGACCCAUAGACUAGGACUAGAAUCAUAAUAGGGGUGUCCUGCCUGAUUUAUAUGGGAAACAAGCAUUAAAACACCAAGCUUGACCUUAGAUCGUGUGCACCCAAGAGAGAGCUACUAGUGCAAAUCGAACUUGGGGCAUCCACCAAGAUGGCUUCCAUAGAAAUCACUGUGCUGGUCAGCUAUAGCCUGUCACUGGGGCAAAUUCAGAUCCCACUGAAGUCAAUGGAAAAUCUCCCACUGACAUCAACAAAACCUGGAUUUGGCCCUUACAGAAUAAGGUUGGCACUUGCCAACUGGUUUCUUUACCAUUUUUAUCUGUCUGCAUUCACUGUCAUGCAUAGUGAGUAGCUUUGCUUGAGGGACUGAACCUACACAGAGAUGGACUAUAUUUGAUACCUGAUUUCUUGCCAAACUGGAAACUAUUUUGGCAAACAUGAUACAUUAAACUUAUUUUUGAUAGUGCCACCUUUCUGGCAGAGUGCUAGAUUUACAUGUGUGAGCAAUGUUGGGUUUUUAUGACAUUUGAAACUUUUUGGGAAGUCAGGCGGAUGGGGGAUGUCCCCUCAUCUAACACAAUAUUUUUCUCAUGGUUUGUGUAUCUGCCCACUGGCAAUUACAUGCCCUUUUCUGUAACAUUUCCAUUUAAUGCAUGUAUAUUUAUGCUCAUACAUUUCUAUGUUCUGUGGAGUGUCAGCAGGUUGCAUAGAAGAUAAUGAAACGACACCAGGUCUAGCGAUUUUUGCACAGGUAGCCACUGAAUGGGUUUGAGUGUCCAGUUCCUCUUAAAAUUAAUGUGAAUUAGGUGUCCAAAUCUCUUAGGCAGAUUUGAAAAUCCUAGCCUUAACGGCUGCUUCAAUUCUUUUAACUAACUCAUCUGUCUUACUGAGAAUUCAGUAUUCUUCCAUUAGCAGGAGUUCUCUGAUUUUUGGAAGUAUUUGUCUUUACGAUUAUUGGAUCAUGAAUCAUUUUGUUGGCUAGAUGGCUGAAACUGUGCACAGAGACUGAUUCACACAAUGCAGUGCUAUGUCUGUUGUUGUGCAGGGCUGAUUGUACUUUAGGUACAGGAAGUAGUGGAUGCCCAGAAAGCACCUUUGUUCUGAUUAUGUUAAGAUGAUAUAAAAGAGAAAUAAAAUGACAUAACUGCUUCCAACACUCCAGACUCCAGCUCUGGAAGCCUAGGAUGUCUUCCAAAUAAAUCACUGGCCCUUGGAAAGUGGGAAUUCAGCCCCUGCUCUAAAAGCUCCUUUGUUCUGACUGCCUUGCCACUACUGAAUCUUCUCACUCAGUGUUCACCUUUCAAAGAAAACUAUGAGACUGCUUUUCUGGUAGCUGGUUCUUUAAGUGUAGGAGAUAUAAACAGUUGCCAUGCUAGGACAGCCAUAUUGUUUGUGGCUGUUGUUUUCUGUUUAUUCCUCCCUUCCAGCUGGUGAUUAUUGUUAGCUCCUACUUUGUGAUCCAUCUCUCUCCCUCCUGAAGAGGGACAUGUCUUCACACCUCUUAACUGGUUGUCUGGGGUGUUAUUCCCUCGGAAGAGAAGAAAGUCAUCAAAAGCUUGUAGAAUCAGGUAUAGCAUUUGGAAGGGCAGGCAAGCAGGCUGCAAAAUGACUCCCCUCCCUUUGUUUCUCAGUCAUUGCAGAGGAAAAUUUUUGCUUUCAUCCUGCUGCAAAAUUAUUAUUGUUAGUAGCUGUAAGUAAUUUAUUGAAUAUGGCUUCAACAAGUGUCCUACAGCAGUACUGACAAACCCAAGCACUCAGAUCAUGAGCCAUACCCCCCCCCCAAAUUAUGGGAUUAUGAAAAUAUAAUAAAUCUUGAAUUCUUUUUUCUUUGUCUUCUGGAUUUUGAGCCUUUAGGGUGCAUUCAGGUCAUAUUUUCAAGCUUUUUCUCUGCAAGCAUGAAGGCUAGAAGCUUACUGUUUUUUUAAAUCAAAGCUGAAAUCGUCACAAAAUCAUUUGACUCCAGAAGCUGGGGCUUGAAUCUAAACAGCAAAGAUUAUGAGGGGUGUCAUCACUGCUAGAGCUUUCCAAAAUGAAGCAAAACGUGGAAGAGCCAAGGUCUAUUUGGGGAGUCCCUCAGUGCUGGAAAAUGUCUCUGGCUACAUCCAGGCUAAGAAUCCAGUUGUGUUGACCGGAGAAAGAUCUCUCAGAUGAUCUGCCAGCUUGUUUUGCCUCUCCAGAAGGUCAGAGGCCUCGAGGUUGAUUGAGUGGGCUAUACAAAUUCCCAUAGGUCGACUGCUUCCUGACAAAGGAGGGAAGAGUAAGCUCCUUCCUGCCUGUUUAGGUAAAAUAUGGCUGCAGUGUUGUCCGUAAGAACAAGAUAACUUUUGCCCUUGAUGUGAGGCAGGAACAUCUGACAGGCAAGACAAACCACUCUGAGCUCUCUGACAUUGAUAUGAAGGGAGAGCUCUGCCUGAGACCAAAGGCCCUGAGUUGUGAGGGGCCCUGGGUGGGCUCCCCACCCUACUGCUAACAUGCCUGAGGCCAGAGUAAUUGAUGGUUGAGGGUACACGAAAGGAACGCCUGCACAAACAUUGAGAGGAUCCAACCACCAAUCCAGCAAGAUGAUGACUCGUGAUGGUACCAUGAGUACAGUGUCUAAAUGAAGAUGGCUUGGUGAGCACACUGAGGCCAACCACGUCUGGAGGUGUCUGAGGUGCAGUCUCCCGUGUUGUACCACAUAAGUGCACGAGGCCAUGUGGCGAAGGAGCCUCAUACAGUUCCAGGCUGUUGUGAUUGGGUGACCUUUGAGGUGUGUCACCGGGGAAUGGACUGAUUCGAAUUGCACCUCCGGGAGGAAUGCUUUGGGUGAAGUCCAACACUACUCCAGUAAACUCUAUUCUCUGUAUUGGACAAAGGGUAGACUUGUCUCCAUUGAUUAGAAGGCGUAGGGCCCUGAACAUUGACUGGAUGACUCAAAUGCUGGAUACCACCUGAGCCCUGGACCGGCCCUUGACUAGCUAGUCAUUCAGAUAAGGGUAGACCUGCACCCCUAAUCUCCUCAGGAAUGCUGCCAUUAUGGCCCUACAUUUUGUGAACAUCUGAAGAGCUGCAGACAGGCCAAACAGGAGCACUGUGAAUUGGUAGUGUAACUGGUUCACUACAAAUCUGAGGAAAUUUCUGUGCCCUUGAUACAUCGACACGUGAUAGUAGGUGUCUCAAGUCGAGGGUGGCGUACCAGUCUCCGGGAUCCAAGGAGGAAAUAAUGGAUGCCAGGGUGACCAUGUGGAAUUUUUAUUUUUUUGAGAUAGUCCGUGCAGGUCUAGAAUAGCAUGAGAGUUUCCUUUGCCUUCUGAAUUAGGAAAUAGCAGGAGUAGAAACCCCUCCCCCUUAACCACUGUGGCACCUCCUCUACAGUUCCUACCUGAAGGAAGGCUUGAACCUCCUGGUGUAGAAGUUUUUCAUGGGAGGGGUCCCUGAAGAGGGAUGGGGCGGGAGGGUGG